AUGGAGCCGGAGAGAGAAUUGAACAAAACAGCCAUGGAACCAGAUAGAAGAGAAAUGGAACCUGAUAUUAGAGAGAGAGACCUGGAGAUAAGAGAGAAAGAACGGAAGCAAAGAGAAACAGAACUGGAUAAAAGACCGAUGGACCUGCAGAGAACACUGAUGUCCUGUUUUAUGUCCACAUGUGAUAAACUGGGGAAAGGAGAGAUGGAACAAGAUAUUAUAGAGAAAGAACAGGAGAAAACAGCAAUGGAUCCAGAUAUUAGAGUGAGACAACCAGAGAAAAGAGUGAUUGAACCCGAUAUUAAAGAGAGAGAAACUGAGAAAAGAGCAAUGGAACUGGAUGGAAGAGAGAUAGAACUGAAGAAAAGAGAGAUAGACCCAGACAUGAGACAUACAGAAAUGGAGAGAAAAGAGAUGGAACCAGAUAUUAAAGAGAUAGAAAUGGAGAGAAAAGAGAUGGAAAUUGAUUUUAAAAAGAGAAGGCUGGAUAUUAGAGAGCGCAAACAGGAUAUAAGAGAAAAAGAAAUGGAUGAUUGUCAAGUACGUCAUGAAUUGCCAGCGGCAGCAGAAGCAGAAGACGGACCGGACAUAAGCUCAGACAAAUCUUCAAUGAAGUGUUUCAGAGAAACACAAGAGAUGCCGACUGAAGCACUGAAACCUGUGCGACGUAACAGCAAAGAAUUAAUGCCUCCUAAAAUGUCUGAAAGUGAGGACAAACCUCCAGCUACUCCCUGA
rnacentral:lncRNA from 1 species